GGCGGGCCUCCCCGCAUGGUCAAGCCGUGAAUCUGGUCAGGUCCGGAAGGAAGCAGCCACAGCGGUCCAUGCCAGUGCCGGGGGUCAGGCUCGCCACC
rnacentral:SRP_RNA from 1 species